GAUGAACGCUGGCGGCGUGCCUAAUACAUGCAAGUCGAGCGAACAGACGAGGAGCUUGCUCCUUUGACGUUAGCGGCGGACGGGUGAGUAACACGUGGAUAACCUACCUAUAAGACUGGGAUAACUUCGGGAAACCGGAGCUAAUACCGGCUAAUAUCUUGAACCGCAUGGUUCGAUAGUGAAAGACGGUUUUGCUUUCACUUAUAGAUGGACCCGCGCCGUAUUAGCUAGUUGGUAAGGUAACGACUUACCAAGGCAACGAUCCGUAGCCGACCUGAGAGGUGGACAGGCCCAACUGGACCGGAGACACGGUCAAGCUUCCUACGGGAGGCAGCAGUGGGGAAUCUUCCGCAAUGGGCGAAAGCCUGACGGAGCAACGCCGCGUGAGUGAUGAAGGUCUUCGGAUCGUAAAACUCUGUUAUUAGGGAAGAAGAAAAGUGUAAGUAACUGUGCACGUCUUGACGGUACCUAAUCAGAAAGCCACGGCUAACUACGUG
rnacentral:rRNA from 1 species